CACGCUACACCUAGCUACUACACCGAGGCCCCUAAUUACUACACCACUAAGGCACCUGAAUAUUACACCACACCCUACGCUUCUCCAACUUACUACAAGGACGUUUCUUAAUACUAGAGUCCAAUUUUAAUCAUGUUCAGAUAUGUCGGUCAUAUCUUAAUAGUUACUAGUCACUGGAAAUUGUUGAUUUUCAAUGACAAAAUAAUUUUUUUAAACCUGGGUUAUCAUUAUGUACGACUUUUCUUGCCACCUAAAAGCCUUUGACAUUGCGACGUUUUCUGAUUUUUAUUGGAUCUUUCCUACUUCGCAUGUUGGAGGUGACCUAUUGCCCUAGUCGCUUUGCAUUCCGACAUGUUCUAGUGUUUGGACAAACUUCAUUUAAAGGGCAAGUUACGAAAGAGACAUACUGUGGUGUUUACUAAAAAUUUUUGAUGUUAACAGCUCUGUUUUUAACUUUAGUUGGCGUAACAUAUGAGUUGCAGAUA